GGAUUUCUCCUGGAAGUUUCAGUUACUUGGCUGUCAUACCGAUACUCUUAACCAGGACAAGUAUUCAGAAAGACUUCUAGACUUUUUUGAUCUGGAACACAUGAAGCCAGGUGUUGAGCAUAACAGCAGGUCAAUCAUUUUGGGUCGGCAGUGAGUCUUUUCAUGAUAUGUUUAAUCUUUGUAUUUUUAACCUCCACCUCAAAUUUUAUCUCUUGUAGACAAUUUGCAAUUGAAAAUGUUAUCUUUUCCAUUAUUGGAAGCCUUGACCACUUCAAGCAAGUUGAAGGCAGAACACUCCAAGCAUGAUGGAAUCCCUUCUCUUGUCCGGCAGCAUUUGUGGAUGCUGGUGAGAUGACCAUCAAGGCUGAAGUAUGGAAACACUGUGCUGUUUGAGAGUAAAUGGAGAGAUCGAUUUCCCAUUUUCCUUCAAACCAUGUGACGCAUGUCUGAUAGCAUCAUAUGAGCAAUGGGGUGCAAGUGUUGUAUAUAGUACUUAUGAAUUAUG